UAGCGAAGUGGCUUAGAUACUGUAGAAAUUAUGCCCAUGAAGCGCAGAAACACCCCUGCAUGGACGCAGGGGUGAGGAGAACCGCGCCACGGACGGCGCGUUUCGACGGUUUCGUCAAGCAUAGAAACCCAUCAAGCAUAAUUUCGUACAGAAUCUUAGCCACGUAGCGU
ncrna:unclassified sequences TwoGGAY RNA